rnacentral:piRNA from 1 species
UAUAAUAGCAGCUGCAGUAGUGGUCCC